rnacentral:tRNA from 1 species
GUACCAUUAGCUCAGUUGGUAGAGCACAUGACUUUUAAUCAUGUGGUCCGGAGUUCAAGUCUCCGAUGGUACA